CUCUGUGAAGAUGCGGAGUGCCAACGCCUAGACGGUAAGACCCCGUAAGAUGCAGAGUACCAACCACUCUUUCGUAUAAGGAUGCCUAACCGCCGCACCGAGAAUUGGUUGUUUUUGUGGGGGGACACUCCGAGGUGGUUAGUUUAACGGAGGUGUGCGAAGGUAGGCUCAAGCUAAGAUUCUGCUCGUGAGCGUAAUGGUAUAAGCCUUCCUGACUGUGAGACCGACUGGUUGAGGAAAGUCGGCCAUAGUGAUCCGGGAGUCCCGUGUGGAAGGGCUCUCGCUCAACGGAUCAAAGGUACGCCGGGGAUAAUAGGCUGAUGACUCCCAAGAGCUCUUAUCGACGGAGUCGUUUAGCACCUCGACCUCGAUGUCGACUCAUCACAUCCUGGGGUUGAAGAGGGUCCCAAGGGUUCGGUUGUUCGCUCAACGGAUCAAAGGUACGCCGGGGAUAACAGGUUGAUGACUCCCAAGAGCUCUUAUCGACGGAGUCCUUUGUCACCUCGAUGUCGACUCAUCACAUCCUGGGGUUGAAGAAGGUCCCAAGGGUUCAGUUCCUAUCUACCGAUUG
rfam:Citrus clementina cultivar Clemenules unplaced genomic scaffold scaffold_5, whole genome shotgun sequence.